rnacentral:rRNA from 1 species
UACGUAGGGUGCGAGCGUUGUCCGGAAUUAUUGGGCGUAAAGAGCUUGUAGGCGGUCUGUCGCGUCUGCUGUGAAAAUCCGGGGCUCAACCCCGGACUUGCAGUGGGUACGGGCAGACUAGAGUGUGGUAGGGGAGACUGGAAUUCCUGGUGUAGCGGUGAAAUGCGCAGAUAUCAGGAGGAACACCGAUGGCGAAGGCAGGUCUCUGGGCCACUACUGACGCUGAGACGCGAAAGCGUGGGGAGCAAACAGG